CCUGGUUUAGAGACUUAUGCCCUGCUGAAAAGGCCAAGCAGGACUCAAGUCUGCCUUGAAGAUGACGGUAGAGGAGUGAACAAAUGCUUGAAUAGUUGGAAUGCAAAUACCAAUUAUUAUCCAGAAAUGGGCACUCAGUUGAUUUUGAAGGAACCUGAACUUUUGACUUGGAUUAUUCAGUCACUCAAAACUACAUUUCUCUACUUGUUCACACUGAGCUUCAAGCAAUUCAUCAAUUACAGUUCAGUUGUCCUCUGGCCCUGGUUCCCCUGGAGGUUUCACUUUACGGAUUUCUGCUCUGUCACUUAUGUCAUUGAGCGGGAGCAUGGGUUUAGGAGCUAGUUCUGUCACUAACUUUUAUGCUUAAG